rnacentral:lncRNA from 1 species
CUUAAUUUUUCUGGGAACCUAAAACUCCAAAAAAUAAAUUUUAUUGUUUUUAAUAAGGAGAAAGAAAGAAAGUGAACAUUCUUCUCUCGGACAAUAGGUAAAAUGAAAAUCAGGCUGAAUUCUCUUCCCCGGGAAGCAAAAGAAAUGAC